CUUAGGUCUCAUUUAAGGGCUGACUCUCCAUAGGCAAGCUUUUUUUUCUGGAGAUUCUUUUUGGUGAAGCUUUCUUUUGUAAACCAACCCUAGACUCUUCUGAUACAGGUGAAGUUUCCAGUGCUGAUGAAGGGGCAGUGAACUGUGGAUUUGGAGGAGUACAUGGAUUAGUUCUUGAAAAGCUGCUGAUAUCUGUAGUAGAAACGUGAAGUCACAGCUUGAAACAGUGAUUGACCACCUGGUGGGAAGGCAGGGCCAAUCCAGGGAGCUCAGAUGCAUGCAAUGCCCCUGAGUGACAGGAAUGGGUAAAGCCAGGAUCCAUCCCUUCCCAGACCUCAUUUAAAGUUGGCAAUGGAGCUGAGGGUAUCUUGCUGGAGAUCCUUGCCUACCUGAGGCCUUCCAAGGAGGUGGCACUGGCUGAGUGUGACAGACAUCAGAGACAAGUUACAAGAAUAUUAAAUUUGGUAGAGACAAUUUUAAGAUGUUAAAUGUCUGAACCAUUUUGAAUGGACUUUGUUUUGCUGAGAUUACAUCAAUGUUUGUUGGAAGUAAAAUGUAUCUUAGUGAUAUUCAGUAAAUAAAGCUGCUUUUGUUCUAAGCUAAAUGCUUUUAUGAGCAUUGGAGCCAAACUCACCAACUUAUGAAGGGGCAGCACUGGUUCAUGUGAUUAAAUCAUGCAAGGUUAUCUGUAUUUUUCUUACAAAUGUAUCUGCAGCUGAAUGUGAUUUCUUAUUCAAAAACUGAGAAAUAAAGGAAAAAGACAUUUGAAAUAAUGGUUUUCAUAAUUAAUGCUAUUUUUGACUUAGUACUAGUUACCUGUGGCCUGGCCUCAACUCCAUCACUUUCAAAACUGAGGUUUUUUUCUCUGCACCAUGCAGGGAAAGGUGGUAGUUCAUCUUUAGGAAACG